GAUGAACGCUGGCGGCGUGCCUAAUACAUGCAAGUCGAGCGAACGGACGAGAAGCUUGCUUCUCUGAUGUUAGCAGCGGACGGGUGAGUAACACGUGGAUAACCUACCUAUAAGACUGGGAUAACUUCGGGAAACCGGAGCUAAUACCGGAUAAUAUUUUGAACCGCAUGGUUCAAAAGUGAAAGACGGUCUUGCUGUCACUUAUAGAUGGAUCCGCGCUGCAUUAGCUAGUUGGUAAGGUAACGGCUUACCAAGGCAACGAUGCAUAGCCGACCUGAGAGGGUGAUCGGCCACACUGGAACUGAGACACAGUCCAGACUCCUACGGGAGGCAGCAGUAGGGAAUCUUCCGCAAUGGGCGAAAGCCUGACGGAGCAACGCCGCGUGAGUGAUGAAGGUCUUCGGAUCGUAAAACUCUGUUAUUAGGGAAGAACAUAUGUGUAAGUAACUGUGCACAUCUUGACGGUACCUAAUCAGAAAGCCACGGCUAACUACGUG
rnacentral:rRNA from 1 species